AUGGACACUCCCUAUUCAAAUAGAGUCGACUAUAAACAGCAUGUUCUUGUCUCUUCUAGUUUCCAGUGAGCUCUGUGAUAGAUAUCACUCCCAUCCACUUUAAAUCUGAUUAAAGCACAACUCAGAGAAGGAUGAUUUUAGGACAUUGUAUUUUGUUUGGACUCAUUUCAUAUUCUUAUGGACAGUCCCUGACCUCCUCUGCUUCUGUGGUGAAGAGACCUGGAGAGUCAGUCACUCUGUCCUGUACUGUCUCUGGAUUCUCAGUGGGCAGUUACUGGAUGAACUGGAUCCGUCAGAAACCAGGACGAGGACUGGAGUGGAUUGGACGCAUUGACACUGGCACUAGCACUUGGUUCGCUCAGUCUCUGCAGGGCCAGUUCUCCAUCACUAAAGACACCAAUAAAAACAUGCUGUAUCUAGAAGUGAAGAGUCUGAAAGCUGAAGACACGGCUGUUUAUUACUGUGCACGAGACUCACACUGAUACAACAGACUGCAGAGCUGUACAACAACUUACACAAACACGUCCUCAUGAGCUGUAAAUAUUCCCUCAGCAGGAAACUGAACCCCACAGACAUUUAUUAUAAACAAAAGGGGUUUUACUUCUUUUC